CAAUGUUUCUCGGUCACUACAUACCAGCAUGCCCUCAAAAUUAUUUCAACGAGGAACUGUGGAUAAUAACGACUGAGAACUAAUUUUUCAAGACGCGAAAUAUUCGAUAUCACAGGGAGUGGUACAAUGAGUACAUGUGGUCCAGAUUCAAUUACAUCCGGAUGCUAUGGCGUUGAUGUGGCUAUACUGUUUAAAAGGCUUUCGUAUUUUGUCUUUACCGCGUGGACGUUUCAAAAAGAUAUAUUAGAGGUCACUAAUAACCAAAUAAACGAAGUUGCCACCUUUCGACAGAUAUCAGAGGAACUGUUGCAAUAAAGCAUUGUCCACUGGGAUAUUGAGGUACUCUGCUCCAUCCAAAUUUCGCUUUGAACGCACCAGUUUGUGAUCUAUAAACUCGGUCAACUGUGCCCUUAAGGCCAGAUCCGAACUGACAAGGAAUGCCUCCCGUGCUCCCCAAUACAGAUCUUUGAAUGCCAUCCCUGAAGAGAAGA
rnacentral:misc_RNA from 1 species